rnacentral:rRNA from 1 species
UACAGAGGUCCCAAGCGUUGUUCGGAUUCACUGGGCGUAAAGGGUGCGUAGGUGGUGAGGUAAGUCGGAUGUGAAAGCUCGGAGCUCAACUCCGAAAUGGCAUUGGAAACUACCUUGCUCGAGGGUUGGAGGGGGACUGGAAUACUUGGUGUAGCAGUGAAAUGCGUAGAUAUCAAGUGGAACACCAGUGGCGAAGGCGAGUCCCUGGACAACUCCUGACACUGAGGCACGAAAGCUAGGGAGCAAACAGG